CACCCAUCACCAACACUCCAGGGACCUCCACAGGGCACCUGGGAACCUCUGGGACUCCAUCUUUUUUUCUCAGCUCCAGCCCCAUGGCCUCUACCAUAUCCCCAGCAACCUCAGCGACCCCCAUCCCUACCCCCACAG